rnacentral:rRNA from 1 species
UAUAAUUUAAAGUAGGGCCUGCCCACUGAAAAUUUGAAGGGCCGCAGUAUUCUGACUGUGCAAAGGUAGCAUAAUCAUUAGUUUUUUAAUUGAAAGCUGGAAUGAAUGGUUUGAUGAGAAAAUAGCUGUCUCAAUUUUAAUUAAUAGAACUUUAUUUUUAAGUUAAAAAGCUUAAAUUUCUUUAAAAGACGAGAAGACCCUAUAGAGUUUUAUUUAUAAUUUUAAAUAAUUUUAAAGAAUUUAAUAAGAAAUUUAUUUUUAUAAAUUUGGUUGGGGUGACUAAAAAAUUAAAUAAACUUUUUUUUAUAUGUUCCAUUUAUUUAUG